GACGAACGCUGGCGGCGUGCCUAAUACAUGCAAGUAGAACGCUGAAGAAAGGAGCUUGCUUCUUUUGGAUGAGUUGCGAACGGGUGAGUAACGCGUAGGUAACCUGCCUUGUAGCGGGGGAUAACUAUUGGAAACGAUAGCUAAUACCGCAUAACAGCUUUUGACACAUGUUAGAAGCUUGAAAGAUGCAAUUGCAUCACUACGAGAUGGACCUGCGUUGUAUUAGCUAGUAGGUAGGGUAACGGCCUACCUAGGCGACGAUACAUAGCCGACCUGAGAGGGUGAUCGGCCACACUGGAACUGAGACACGGUCCAAACUCCUACGGGAGGCAGCAGUGGGGAAUAUUGCACAAUGGGCGAAAGCCUGAUGCAGCAACGCCGCGUGAACGAUGAAGGUCUUCGGAUCGUAAAGUUCUGUCGCAGGGGAAGAUAAUGACGGUACCCUGUGAGGAAGCACCGGCUAACUACGUGCCAGCAGCCGCGGUAAUACGUAGGGUGCUAGCGUUAUCCGGAUUUACUGGGCGUAAAGGGUGCGUAGGUGGUCUUUCAAGUCGGUGGUUAAAGGCUACGGCUCAACCGUAUUAAGCCGCCGAAACUGGAAGACUUGAGUGCAGGAGAGGAAAGUGGAAUUCUCAGUGUAGCGGUGAAAUGCGUAGAUAUUGAGAAGAACACCAGUAGCGAAGGCGGCUUUCUGGACUGUAACUGACACUGAGGCACGAAAGCGUGGGUAGCAAACAGGAUUAGAUACCCUGGUAGUCCACGCCGUAAACGAUGAGUAUUAGGUGUCGGGGGUUACCCCCCUCGGUGCCGCAGUUAACGCAUUAAAUACUCCGCCUGGGGAGUACGCACGCAAGUGUGAAACUCAAAGGAAUUGACGGGGACCCGCACAAGUAGCGGAGCAUGUGGUUUAAUUCGAAGCAACGCGAAGAACCUUACCUAAGCUUGACAUCUCUCAGACCGGUAGUUAAUCCUACCUUCCCUUCGGGGCUGAGAUGACAGGUGGUGCAUGGUUGUCGUCAGCUCGUGUCGUGAGAUGUUGGGUUAAGUCCCGCAACGAGCGCAACCCUUGUCUUUAGUUGCCAGCAUUAAGUUGGGCACUCUAGAGAGACUGCCAGGGAUAACCUGGAGGAAGGUGGGGAUGACGUCAAAUCAUCAUGCCCCUUAUGCUUAGGGCUACACACGUGCUACAAUGGGUGGUACAGAGGGUUGCCAAGCCGCAAGGUGGAGCUAAUCCCUUAAAGCCAUUCUCAGUUCGGAUUGUAGGCUGAAACUCGCCUACAUGAAGCUGGAGUUACUAGUAAUCGCAGAUCAGAAUGCUGCGGUGAAUGCGUUCCCGGGUCUUGUACACACCGCCCGUCACACCAUGGAAGUUGGAAACACCCGAAGCCGAUUAUCUAACCGCAAGGAAGAAGUCGUCGAAGGUGGAAUCAAUAACUAGGGUGA
rnacentral:rRNA from 1 species